GGCAAUGAUGCAUAACACACAAGAAACAUGAUGGACCAGAAUUAGAAAAUGUGAUUUGCAAGUAGGGCCGGGUAAUAAUUCAAUAUCAUCGUUGAAAGACUUUCAGCCAAAUCAUAUCAUGAUGAUUUCUGUCCAAAUUCCUAGAAGAUGUUAUUAAAAAGUAACAAAAUUUGUUUUUUUAAUGUUUUGUAUUACACAAUAAAGACUUUGGUCUCAUGUAUGCCACAUAAAAGUGUAGCACAGUUCUGUUUGAUUAUUCUAUAUGUAUAAUUGUGCAUGCAUUUGCCUUAUCUAUCAGGAAAUAUCCCCGUUGUUAAUGUGAUAAUGACUUCAGAUGUAUUGCCCAGCUCUAGAGGCAAUUUGCCCUUGAAGAAAGCAUCUAACAUGCAGAUGUAUAAGUAUAGCUGUUCAGUGCCAAUAACAAUGAGAAAUGAGGCAUUGCUAAAAAGCAGUUGUGCCAAAAUACAGAUUCCUUCAUCCUAGCCUGGAGGUUGAUCAAAUGUCAAGUUACAUGCAUGAAGCUCAAACCUGCUACAUAGAAAAAAUGCCAUGUCAUCAAUCUCAAAGCAUUUCUUCUCCUACUCUGCAGAAUUGACGUUUUAAAGAUCAAAGGUGUAUAAUCAGAAAGCACAGCAGUCUGUUGUGAUUUGCAACAACCUCUUGUUUGCAUAUUCACCUUAUCAUACAACUACCUUAUCUACUCAUGCAAAUUUUCUGUUAUCUGUAUGGAUUGAACAAGCACAUUAAAAAAAAAACCCUUCUCAGGAAGUAUUCCAAUGCUUUUCUACAUGUGGGUUAACCACCAUUAUUUUUAUUAUGAUUUUAAGUCCAACUUUUUUCUUAUCAGAUGAUCAGGGGCAUGUUGGUCCUUGUCAUCACAUCAAGCUUUAGACUCUUAUGUAUUUAUUAUGACUCAAUUUCACAACACAGACCAAAAACACCUUGUUUCUUUCUUUUUUUAUUUUUUACUUAUUUUUUAAUUGAGUCAGCAUUGGAGAGUGCCCCUUUGAGGGUUUUUUUUGCACCUCUCCAUCACAUUUUUUUAUUGUUUCCGUGUACAUCAACUUGUAUCUUUUGCACAUGUGUAAACAAAUAAGGCGAUUUCACAGAUUAAGACAGCAGAGGCCAGGAGUCAAGUGAAUAGCCGCUGUAUUAGCUUAAAGGGAUGCACACUGCUCCACAUGUGGUGUUUACAGAAGAAACAGCUAUUUCUAUAAUACUGAAGUCAUGACAGUUAGAGGCCUUUAACGCAUUCAUCUAUCAAGCCAGAUUGAGAGAGGCCAAAGAAACACUCGAUACGGAGAAGCCUCGAGGACGCACUCCUGCACCAUAACAACACACGCAGGGGGAGUCGACGACUCCAUGACGUCCCUGUGGAUGGACUUGGGCCGUGGCUUCUUCUUGAGACUUCCAGAUCGGGGUUUGAUGACUUCA